rnacentral:rRNA from 1 species
GACGAACGCUGGCGGCGUGCUUAACACAUGCAAGUCUAACGAGCGGCGGACGGGUGAGUAAUGUCUGGGAAACUGCCUGAUGGAGGGGGAUAACUACUGGAAACGGUAGCUAAUACCGCAUACCAUCAGAUGUGCCCAGAUGGGAUUAGCUAGUAGGUGGGGUAACGGCUCACCUAGGCGACGAUCCCUAGCUGGUCUGAGAGGAUGACCAGCCAAUGUGGAACUGGGACAAGGUCCAGACUCCUAUGGGAGGCAGCAGUGGGGAAUAUUGCACAAUGGGCGCAAGCCUGAUGCAGCCAUGCCGCGUGUAUGAAGAAGGCCUUCGGGUUGUAAAGUACUUUCAGCGGGGAGGCGUUAACCGCAGAAGAAGCACCGGAUAACUCCGUGCCAGCAGCCGAGGUAAUUC